rnacentral:piRNA from 1 species
ACGGCCGAUUUCCUGAUUUGGUAUUUGGCA